UUUUUCUGGUGUGCUCAACAGUUUCCUAGGAUGUGUGGACAAGAUUGGCAUAGCUUUUGAAGCACCCACAAUAGCCACUGGGUUUGGUGCAUAUCUUGCUCAGCCAAUUCUUCGUGGCGCAUUUGAAAAGAAUCCCAGCAUGUCUCUAGAAGAGGCAAGGCAAGUGAUCACCAAAUGUCUGCAAGUGUUGUUUUACAGAGAUGCCAGGUCACUAAACAAGUAUGAAAUUGCAGUCAUUACAAGUGAUGGUGUUUUGAUUGAACCUGUAACCAGUGCACAAACCAAUUGGGAAAUUGCUCCAAUGGUCAAAGGCUAUGAGUAAUUCCUGGGACGUAUGGAAACCUUUCUUUGCUGACUAGUUCUGCGUAUAUUUUCGUCUUUGUCCCUGUAUGAUACAGCCUUAGAAUGUACAUGUUAAGAAAACUGAUGAUAAAAUGUCAAAACCUUUCAA